GAAAAGAACCCCGGAAGGGGAGUGAAAGAGAACCUGAAACCGUGUGCUUACAAGCAGAGGGAGCGCAAGUGACCUCGUACUUUUUGUAGAACGGGCCGGCGAGUUACGUUGCGUUGCGAGGUUAAGGUACUAAGUACCGGAGCCGAAGCGAAAGCGAGUCUUAAUAGGGCGAGAAGUAGUGUGACGUAGACCCGAAACCUAAUGACCUACCCAUGAGCAGGAUGAAGCAGAAGUAAAAUUCUGUGGAGGUCCGAACGCACGCCUGUUGAAAUAGGCGGCGAUGACUUGUGGUUAGCGGAGAAAUUCCAAACGAAUUAGGAUAUAGCUGGUUCUCCUCGAAAUAGCUUUAGGGCUAGCCUCAACGUAGAGAGUAUCGGGGGUAGAGCACUGAAUGGGCUAGGGGCCUUCACGGGUUACCGAACCUUAUCAAACUGCGAAUACCGAAUACUUAUAGUUGGGAGUCAGACGGCGUGAGAUAAGUUUCGUCGUCAAAAGGGAAACAGCCCAGAUCCACAGCUAAGGUCCCAAAGUUCAGGUUAAGUGGUAAAGGAUGUGUCAUUGCAUAGACAACCAGGAUGUUGGCUUAGAAGCAGCCACACAUUAAAAGAGUGCGUAAUAGCUCACUGGUCGAGUGACGAUGCGCCGAAGAUUACCGGGGCUAAAACCUGACACCGAAGCUUGGGGAUAGACGAGAGUCUAUCGGUAGAGGAGCAAUCUGUAAGAGCAGAAGCGAAAUCGUAAGGUUUCGUGGAUUUUACAGAAGAGAGAAUGCCGGCAUGAGUAGCGAGAGGAAAGUGAGAAACUUUUCCGUCGAAAGCCUAAGGUUUCCUGGGGAAGGUUCGUCCACCCAGGGUAAGUCGGGACCUAAGUGGAGGCCGAAAGGCGUACAUGAUGGACAACAGGUAGAUAUUCCUGUACCACGACACGGAUAAGAGCAGGGACACAGAAGGAUAGUUGGACCAUGGGGAUGGAAACCAUGGACAAAUCAAGAGGCUAAGCAGUAGGAAGAAAACGCUGCUUAAAAGGCUGGUUGAUGAUGUGGAGUGAAAAAUAGUAGCGAAGCCAAUGAAUUCACGCUGGCGAGAAAAACUGCGUACUUAGAAGAAGUGAAGUGCCCGUACCGCAAACCGACACAGGUAGGCGGCAAGAGAAUUGCAAGACGAACGGGAUAACCAUUGUUAAGGAACUCGGCAAAAUGACCCCGUAACUUAGGGAUAAGGGGGGCCUACGCAAGUAGGCUGCAAAAAAUAGGCCCAAGCGACUGUUUAUCUAAAACACAGGUCUCUGCGAAAGCGCAAGCUGAAGUAUAGGGGCUGACGCCUGCCCGGUGCUGGAAGGUCAAGGGGAAAUGUUAGGAGCAAGUCCGAAGCAUAGAACUUAAGCCCCAGUGAACGGCGGCCGUAACUAUAACGGUCCAAAGGUAGCGAAAUUCCUUGUCAGGUAAGUUCUGACCCGCACGAAUGGCGUAAUGAUUUGGGAACUGUCUCAACAAGAGACCCGGCGAAAUUGUAGUAUACGUGAAGAUGCGUAUUAACCGCGACUGGACGGAAAGACCCCGUAGAGCUUUACUGUAGCUUGACAUUGAAUUUCGGUAAAGACUGUACAGGAUAGGUGGGAGACUUUGAACCAUGGGCGUCAGCUUGUGGGGAGUCGACGUUGGGAUACCACCCUAUCUUUGCUGAGGUUCUAACUCAAAGCGUUGAAUCACGAUUGAGGACAAUGUCAGGUGGGCAGUUUGACUGGGGCGGUCGCCUCCUAAAGAGUAACGGAGGCGUCCAAAGGUUCCCUCAGAAUGGUUGGAAACCAUUCGUAGAGCAUAAAGGUAUAAGGGAGCUUGACUGCGAGACAUACAAGUCGAGUAGAUACGAAAGUAGGGCUUAGUGAUCCGGCGGUAGAGAAUG
rnacentral:rRNA from 1 species